rnacentral:tRNA from 1 species
GGGGACGUGGCGCAAUUGGUAGCGCACCACCUUUGCAAGGUGGGGGUUGUGGGUUCGAGUCCCAUCGUCUCCA